GACUUGGUAGCUCAGCUGGUAUAGCAUCUCCCUUUUAAGGAGAGGGUCCUGGGUUCGAGCCCCAGCCAGGUCAC
rnacentral:tRNA from 1 species